rnacentral:rRNA from 1 species
GACGAACGCUGGCGGCGUGCUUAACACAUGCAAGUCGAACGGAAAGGCCCUGCUUUUGUGGGGUGCUCGAGUGGCGAACGGGUGAGUAACACGUGAGUAACCUGCCCUUGACUUUGGGAUAACUUCAGGAAACUGGGGCUAAUACCGGAUAGGAGCUCCUGCUGCAUGGUGGGGGUUGGAAAGUUUCGGCGGUUGGGGAUGGACUCGCGGCUUAUCAGCUUGUUGGUGGGGUAGUGGCUUACCAAGGCUUUGACGGGUAGCCGGCCUGAGAGGGUGACCGGCCACAUUGGGACUGAGGUACGGCCCAGACUCCUUCGGGAGGCAGCAGUGGGGAAUAUUGCACAAUGGGCGGAAGCCUUAAGCAGCCACGCCGCGGGCGGGAUGACGGCCUUCGGGUUGUAAACCGCUUUCGCCUGUGACGAAGCGUGAGUGACGGUAAUGGGUAAAGAAGCACCGGCUAACUACGUG